rnacentral:siRNA from 1 species
CAACAUGACAUGCCUAGGGAGUUC